AUUUACAAAAGAAAGAGGUUUAAUAGAUUUACACUUCCAUGUGGCUGGGGAAGCCUCACAAUCAUGGUGGUAGGAAAGGAGUAGCAAGUCACACCUUACAUGGAUUGCUGCAGGCCAAAAGAGAGAUUCUUCAUCUGUUUUAGAGAAAU